rnacentral:hammerhead_ribozyme from 1 species
GUACUGCUGAAGAGUCCCAAACUAGUAUGAAACAGCUGUCCAGUAC